AAAUAUUCCUGCUCGGGAUCAUGGCUCAUAUUGGUGAAGGGCAGGACGGCGAUCGAUAAUUCGUAACCGCGGUCGACCACGCCGGACGAUUCCGCAC
rnacentral:sRNA from 1 species